CCAGCAGCUGCGGUAAUUCCAGCUCCAAUAGCGUAUAUUUAAGUUGCUGCAGUUAAAAAGCUCGUAGUUGGAUUUCGGGUGGGGCCUGCCGGUCCGCCGUUUCGGUGUGCACUGGCAGGGCCCACCUUGUUGCCGGGGACGGGCUCCUGGGCUUCACUGUCCGGGACUCGGAGUCGGCGAAGUUACUUUGAGUAAAUUAGAGUGUUCAAAGCAGGCAUACGCUCUGAAUACAUUAGCAUGGAAUAACACGAUAGGACUCUGGCCUAUCUGUUGGUCUGUGGGACCGGAGUAAUGAUUAAGAGGGGUAGUCGGGGGCAUUCGUAUUCCGUUGUCAGAGGUGAAAUUCUUGGAUUUACGGAAGACGAACAUCUGCGAAAGCAUUUGCCAAGGAUACUUUCAUUGAUCAAGAACGAAAGU
rnacentral:rRNA from 1 species